CACGCCGUAAACGAUGGAUACUAGGUGUAGGGGGUAUCGACCCCCCCUGUGCCGGAGUUAACGCAAUAAGUAUCCCGCCUGGGGAGUACGGUCGCAAGACUGAAACUCAAAGGAAUUGACGGGGGCCCGCACAAGCAGCGGAGCAUGUGGUUUAAUUCGAAGCAACGCGAAGAACCUUACCAGGGCUUGACAUCCCGAUGACCGGUACAGAGAUGUACCUUCCCUUCGGGGCAUUGGAGACAGGUGG
rnacentral:rRNA from 1 species